GGAAACAGGUGCUAAUACCGUAUAACACUAUUUUCCGCAUGGAAGAAAGUUGAAAGGCGCUUUUGCGUCACUGAUGGAUGGACCCGCGGUGCAUUAGCUAGUUGGUGAGGUAACGGCUCACCAAGGCCACGAUGCAUAGCCGACCUGAGAGGGUGAUCGGCCACAUUGGGACUGAGACACGGCCCAGACUCCUACGGGAGGCAGCAGUAGGGAAUCUUCGGCAAUGGACGAAAGUCUGACCGAGCAACGCCGCGUGAGUGAAGAAGGUUUUCGGAUCGUAAAACUCUGUUGUUAGAGAAGAACAAGGAUGAGAGUAAAAUGUUCAUCCCUUGACGGUAUCUAACCAGAAAGCCACGGCUAACUACGUGCCAGCAGCCGCGGUAAUACGUAGGUGGCAAGCGUUGUCCGGAUUUAUUGGGCGUAAAGCGAGCGCAGGCGGUUUCUUAAGUCUGAUGUGAAAGCCCCCGGCUCAACCGGGGAGGGUCAUUGGAAACUGGGAGACUUGAGUGCAGAAGAGGAGAGUGGAAUUCCAUGUGUAGCGGUGAAAUGCGUAGAUAUAUGGAGGAACACCAGUGGCGAAGGCGGCUCUCUGGUCUGUAACUGACGCUGAGGCUCGAAAGCGUGGGGAGCGAACAGGAUUAGAUACCCUGGUAGUCCACGCCGUAAACGAU
rnacentral:rRNA from 1 species